AGUCAAGUAAUUAAGUGCAUGUGGUGGAUGCCUUGGCAGUCAGAGGCGAUGAAAGACGUGAUAGCCUGCGAAAAGCUCCGGGGAGGCGGCAAAUAUCCUUUGAUCCGGAGAUGUCUGAAUGGGGGAACCCACCUACUUUAAGGUAGGUAUUGCAACAUGAAUACAUAGUGUUGCAAGGCGAACGAGGGGAAGUGAAACAUCUCAGUACCCUUAGGAAAAGAAAUCAAUUGAGAUUCCCUCAGUAGCGGCGAGCGAACGGGGAUCAGCCCAUUAAGUUAUGUGUGUUUUAGUGGAACGCUCUGGGAAGUGCGAACGUAGAGGGUGAUAUUCCCGUACACGAAAGGGCACACAUAAUGAUGACGAGUAGGGCGAGGCACGUGAAACCUUGUCUGAAUAUGGGGGGACCAUCCUCCAAGGCUAAAUACUCCUGACUGACCGAUAGUGAACCAGUACCGUGAGGGAAAGGCGAAAAGAACCCCUGUGAGGGGAGUGAAAUAGAUCCUGAAACCGCAUGCAUACAAGCAGUGGGAGCACCUUCGUGGUGUGACUGCGUACCUUUUGUAUAAUGGGUCAGCGACUUAUAUUCAGUAGCGAGGUUAACCGUAUAGGGGAGCCGUAGAGAAAUCGAGUCUUAAUAGGGCGUUUAGUUGCUGGGUAUAGACCCGAAACCAGGCGAUCUAUCCAUGAGCAGGUUGAAGGUUGGGUAACACUAACUGGAGGACCGAACCCACUGUCGUUGAAAAGCCAGGGGAUGACUUGUGGAUAGGGGUGAAAGGCUAAUCAAGCCUGGUGAUAGCUGGUUCUCCCCGAAAGCUAUUUAGGUAGCGCCUCGGACGAAUACCAUAGGGGGUAGAGCACUGUUUCGGCUAGGGGGUCAUCCCGACUUACCAAACCGAUGCAAACUCCGAAUACCUAUGAGUACUAUCCGGGAGACAGACUGCGGGUGCUAACGUCCGUAGUCAAGAGGAAAACAAUCCAGACCGCCAGCUAAGGCCCCAAAAUCAUAGUUAAGUGGGAAACGAUGUGGGAAGGCAUAGACAGCUAGGAGGUUGGCUUAGAAGCAGCCACCCUUUAAAGAAAGCGUAAUAGCUCACUAGUCGAGUCGGCCUGCGCGGAAGAUGUAACGGGGCUAAAACUAUGUGCCGAAGCUGCGGAUGUAUACUUUGUAUACGUGGUAGGGGAGCGUUCUGUAAGCCGAUGAAGGUGUGUUGAGAAGCAUGCUGGAGGUAUCAGAAGUGCGAAUGCUGACGUGAGUAACGACAAAACGGGUGAAAAACCCGUUCGCCGAAAGACCAAGGGUUCCAGUCCAACGUUAAUCGGGGCUGGGUGAGUCGACCCCUAAGGCGAGGCCGAAAGGCGUAGUCGAUGGGAAAAUGGUUAAUAUUCCAUUACUUCUGUGUAAUGCGAUGAGAGGACGGAGAAGGCUAAAUCAGCCUGGCGUUGGUUGUCCAGGUGAAAGGAUGUAGGCAUGUAUCUUAGGCAAAUCCGGGGUACUCUAUGCUGAGAUCUGAUAGCAAGCUGUACUUGUACAGCGAAGUGGUUGAUGCCAUGCUUCCAGGAAAAGUCUCUAAGCUUCAGUUACACAGGAAUCGUACCCGAAACCGACACAGGUGGUCAGGUCGAGUAGACCAAGGCGCUUGAGAGAACUCUGCUGAAGGAACUAGGCAAAAUGGUACCGUAACUUCGGGAGAAGGUACGCUGUUGUUGGUGA
rnacentral:rRNA from 1 species